rnacentral:tRNA from 1 species
UGGCUCAGUGGUAGAGCGCUUGCCUUGCAUGCUUGAGGCCCUGAGUUCGAUUCCUCAG